AAAAAAAAUGAAAAAAC
rnacentral:sRNA from 1 species